rnacentral:rRNA from 1 species
ACGGAAGGCAGCAGUGGGGAAUAUUGGGCAAUGGGCGAAAGCCUGACCCAGCAACGCCGCGUGAAGGAAGAGGGUCUCCGGAUUGUAAACUUCUUUUAUGUAGGGCGAAGAAAGUGACGGUACUACAUGAAUAAGCCACGGCUAACUACGUGCCAGCAGCCGCGGUAAUACGUAGGUGGCAAGCGUUAUCCGGAUUUACUGGGUGUAAAGGGCGCGUAGGCGGGGAUGCAAGUCAGAUGUGAAAUCCAUGGGCUCAACCCAUGAACUGCAUUUGAAACUGUAUCUCUUGAGUGCUGGAGAGGUAGAUGGAAUUCCUAGUGUAGCGGUGAAAUGCGUAGAUAUUAGGAAGAACACCAGUGGCGAAGGCGAUCUACUGGACAGUAACUGACGCUGAGGCGCGAAAGCGUGGGGAGCAAACAGGAUUAGAUACCCUGGUA